UACGUAGGGCGCAAGCGUUGUCCGGAAUUAUUGGGCGUAAAGAGCUCGUAGGCGGUCUGUCACGUCUGCCGUGAAAACCCGAGGCUUAACCUCGUGGCUUGCGGUGGAUACGGGCAGACUAGAGGUAGGUAGGGGAGAAUGGAAUUCCCGGUGUAGCGGUGAAAUGCGCAGAUAUCGGGAGGAACGCCGGUGGCGAAAGCGACGUGCUGGACCUCAUCUGACGCUGAGGCGCGAAAGCCAGGGGGAGCAAACGGGG
rnacentral:rRNA from 1 species